UACGAAGGGGGCUAGCGUUGCUCGGAAUCACUGGGCGUAAAGCGCACGUAGGCGGCUUUUUAAGUCUGGGGUGAAAUCCUGGAGCUCAACUCCAGAACUGCCUUGGAUACUGAGGAGCUUGAGUCCGGGAGAGGUGAGUGGAACUGCGAGUGUAGAGGUGAAAUUCGUAGAUAUUCGCAAGAACACCAGUGGCGAAGGCGGCUCACUGGCCCGGUACUGACGCUGAGGUGCGAAAGCGUGGGGAGCAAACAGG
rnacentral:rRNA from 1 species